GUGAACGCCCUCACGGGCUUAUAACUAUUCCAAACCUCUGUGAACCGUGCCCUUCGGGGCUAUUUUACAAACAUGGUGUAAUGAACGUCGUAUAUCAUAACAAAACA
rnacentral:misc_RNA from 1 species